CCGCCCCCGCCCCCCGCCCCGGAGAGGCCCCGCCCGCGCCCCGCCCCACCCGGCGCGCGCCCGCUCCCCGGCGGAGGCUGGGCCCGCGCGCGCCCGGAGAGCCUGGCUGGGAGCCCGCGGAAGGAGGGGGUCCGGGCCCCCGACAGCCUUCCGCGCCGGGCCUCCAGCACUUCCUGGGACGGCUUGGGUUACUCCCGCAGGGCGCUGCGCCUCCCCAAACCCAGGCUCUGCCCGCUCUGGCCUGGAGCGGGGCUGAGUGUUGGAGCGCCGGGAGGCCACUGAGGGGGAUGUCAGCCUCGGUUCAUCUCAACGUACACAAAGACCCCCAGGAUUUCAGGCAAAAGGAAUAAAGAGCUGCUGUCAGCAGAAUUCAGGAAACUGAGCAGAAUUGGCGGGGUUUACACCUGAAUGAGUCAAAUUCUUGGCUGGACCUCAACUGCGAUUCCGGGCCUGAGCUCAGGGACUGAUGAAAACCCGCUUAACAAGAGAAACGCGUGCGGGUGUGCCCUGCCCUGCCUUACCUUGAGGGUGAGGAGAAAAGCUCCAAGCAUCCUCUUAGACACUAAUCCCGCAGGGCUCCUCCUCCAAAAACGCCUGGCUGGCGUCCUAUGGCGCCCUAACCCCCCAACUGCAUCGAGGCUAUAAAGACACGCCUACUCGUGCUGCACUGCCUCCCGUGGAGACUGCGAGGCUUCCCCAGGUGUGAAUCGUAUGAAUCGGGCACCUCACAAUUCACACCUGCAGGCGCACGCCUGAUUGCACGUGGUAGUUGAAGCCUUCCUAGAGCUCCACUGGGAGGAAUUGCUGCUGACAGCGGAAAACUACAGUUUUUGUCUUCCACCUGCUGAGAGUGAAACGAACCCCCAAAGUGUUGCCACUUUGGGAAGAGGACCCCACAGAACAUUCUCUUAAUAUGGAAACUGAAAUGCCACCAUUUGAACCCCUUUAACAGGUGCAUCCUGAGUUAUUACUGGGCUACAAAUGCUACUUUUAGGCAGGUACUGAAAGCACUGACAUCCUCUUGUUCUAACUGUUGGUCAGAACAUUCUGGAAGGUGCAUCUAAAGAAGAAGAGAAACCGUAGUUUUCUCAAGGAGCUUUUGUGAUGGUUCAAAUGUGAUUGUUGAGGAAGAGAGCGGAGCUGAAGGAUUGCUCUCAACAGAGAAAGUCCAAAGAAAAAGACUGAAGGUCCUGGGCAAAGACAGGUUCUUAUUCGUUAUCCAUUUUAUACAUAGUAUUGUCUACAUGUCAAUCCUAGUCUCCCAACGCAUCCCACCACCACCGUCCCUCCCCCAUCCCUUGUAUCCGUUCUCUUCUUGUGGCUUCCAUUUUGUCACCGUAACGGGAGCCAGUAUCGUGAGCUGAGGCUGAAGAUGGGGGAAGAAGUACUGGAGUUUGGAGAAGGAAGAGGAAGUCUGAGGUUCAGAAAAGCAUGGGAGAGUGAUGGACCAGUGCGGUUUGGCAUGACUGCCUGCUGGCCUGGGAACCCACCUGAAGCCAAUGGGACACCCCUGGGCUUCCUCCAGAUUCUGAUUCAGAAGGUCUGAUGUGGGGCCUGAGAAGAGCUUCUGCUUCCCAGCAAGGUCCCAGAUGAUACAAUGCUGCUGUGAGCCACACUUUGAGUAGCAAGGGGCUGCACAUGGACUCCAAAUCCCAACAGCCACAGCAGCAUCCUCCCUUUCCUAUCAACGAAGACACCGGGCAUCUUGGGGGCGUUGUCCUGCUACGUGCAGUUGGGCAGCUCCCGUCAGCAGGGUAGCUGCUCACAUCUGUCAUGGAGCCUGGAAUUUCUGAGUUAGGGGGCUGUCUGCCAAAGACUUCCUGGCAAAGUGUUUUGUCUGCAAAACAGACACAAUAGCAAGGGACUCAUAUGGAUUUUUAAGAAAUGCCCUACACCCUUCUUGUUUUGGAAGAAGUGAAGGAAGAAAUUCACUCUUUUCUCAGAAGAAAGUGUUUCCAAAGCAGCUCUAAAUCUGGUCCCCGUAUAAGACAAUAGCUGUUUUUGUAAAUGCAAAAAAAAGGCCUAGUGACAGGACUUGACACUAGAGCUCUAAAGCUAAGUCCAAAUGGGGCUGUCUUGGAGGUCCUUGAGGUGUCCUUCCUAGUUACACCACUGCCAUCCCAUCCUGUCCGGCCAGUAAGCGUGCCUGGGUUUAGCUGGUGAGAGACACAGACUCUAAGGUGCCGUUUGUUAUCUAUGGGCUGAAUCUGCCCCCCUCCGCUUCAUAUGUCGAAGUCCUAACACCCAGUACCUUGGAAUGUGACCGUAUUUAAGUUAAUGAGAACUUUAAAGAGGUAACUAAGUUAAAUGAGGUCAUAUGGAUUGGCCUUGAUCUAAUAUAACAGGCGUCCUUAUAAGAUGAAGAGAUUAGGACAGAUGCACACAGAGGAUAGACCAUGUGAGGACACAGGGAGAAGACAACCGUCUGCAAACCAGGGAGAGACGCCUCAGAAGACACCAACACUGCUGGCACCUUGAUCUUGGACUUCCAGCCUCCAGAACUACGAGAAAACAAAAUUCUGUGGUUUAAGCCCCGCAGUCUGUGGUCCUUUGCUGUGGCGGCCUGAGCAGAGUCAAACACCAUCCAAGUCUUCCCUUCACUGGGUGAGACUGAAUCUCAGAAUAUCCUUCCGUUUCGGAAGGAGACCUGCAUCCUGGGAACAGUGCCAGCUGCCUAGAUGGCUUCUGCCCCUUGGAGCACAGCUCUUUGAAGGAGCCUCUCUUCUCUGGUGUCACAGCGAACUCCCUUUUCUGAUCUUCCUCUCCGUGCUUCUUAACAGCAAAAUAUGAGACCAGUGAGAGGUAAACCCAGCAAAGCCACUAAGAAAGCUCCAGCCGCGGUGCCGGCUGUCUGGGAAGGGGGACAGCCUGCGGCCCCCACCGCUGCUCACAGCCCGCUCCAUCUGUGCCUAUCCAGGCACGGCCCAGGGUUCUCAGGAGGAGCCCUUUCCCCACAAAGUAUUGUAAAUGGGCAAGAACAAAUCUGACUCCGUACUGGAUCUGUUUCUUUUACUUUGACAUUUGUAUUCUAUUGCUUUUGCUACAAGUUAAUCACUAAAGGGAUGUUGCCUAUAACUUAAGAUGUACAUAGUGGCCCAUCUCCUGGAACCCUCCCAGGCUCGGGCCUCCCAUGCUUGAGCAUUACGCUAGAAUACCUUCGUUUAGCUCUCAGCAAACAGACUGAUCAGGUCCACCUGUGAGUGGCUGCAGGAAAGAAGAAAUUGCCACAUACCCUCCAGAGUCUGGCUGGAGCCAGGACGUAUCUGCAACAACUGACCACCUUUCUUACUUCACUUCCUCGCUUCCCCGCUCUUUGUUAUUUAAAAGAAACUAGCAUCAAACCCGGGCAAGGUGGUUCUUUGGAACACUAGUCUGACAUCGUCUCAGUCUGCUGGCUUCUGAAUAAAGUCGCCAUUCCUGGCCCCCAAAACUCGUGUCUCGAUGUAUUGGCCCGUCGUGCGGCGAGCAGUCUGAGCUUGGACUCGGUAACAGUGUGGGUGAAGCCGCUGCUUCCAUGUAACCACGGAGCAGGCAUUGUCGGUGAGAUAGACAGCUUUUGCUACCAAUGGAAUAAAGGACGUGAACCUUCCUUUGGUUCACAUUUCAAUUCACAUUCAGCCGUUUCUAAUCCUCUCCCAUCCAUCAACGUAACAGCUGGUCGGCUGAAGCUGAUUUCCAACACCAGGAACCUCUUUUGCUUUGCACAGCUGGGUGACAACAUCCGAUCCCUGUAUGUUUGUUCUACUUACCUGGUGACGUGUCUCUAGAUGUGGGAUCACUAGUUGUAAAGGGUACCCACCUCUUCAGAUUUCAAUAGCAGUACAGUAAACAUUGUCUCUAGAAUACGCAGGAAUCAGUGAUCCCCCUUAUGGUUACCACCUGGUGAUAAGCCGGUGGUGUACGUGGCCCCCAUUUUGUGGUCUAAGCAUGAAUUUGCAUAGCGGGUAGAUGGUUUCUACUGGGCUGUUGAGGACCACUUCUCCCCAACCCGCAGCGGAACCCUCACUCGCAUGCAGAAGCAAGACCCGUGAUGCGAACACCAUCCGCCGGGCCCGGCCAUUGCACCCAGGUCUGAUCUCUCCGGCCUUCUGAGCUCCUGAAUCCUGCUCUUGACUACCUGUCGCAGCCAUCUCUCUUACAUUACAUUUUCGAUAUUACUUUAAAAAGGCAAAUGAAUUAAUCUGUGCCUUGAGGAUUUACCAGACUCCCAGUAAAAUAUGUUGUUUUCACAGCUGUGCUCCCACGCUUCUAUGAUGCCGUUUCAAGGGAGACAGACUAAUGUAAUGCUGGUGACAGCACAAUUGUCAUCCUGCUAAAGAGAAGAGUAUUGUGAUCUCAAUGGAAAAGGAAAGUGAAGUUUUCAGCUGCAGGCUCGGAUCCCAUUAACUGCAACAAUCUCUACCUUUGAGCAGGGCUGGGAGUGGAAAUUCCUACAAGCUGCUGAAUACAAAUGACGUCAUCUUGCCACCCACAAAUCUUAGGAGUCUGACAGUCCGGAAGACGGCGUACACUCGAAGGAAGACAACUCCAAUGAAACUGACAGGUUCUGAGGAUUUGAGAGGAAACAUUUUCAUAAGUUAUUCUCUUCUCCGUGUUCUUUUUUGGUUUUGCAACUGUCGGUACCAUGAAAUUAGGACCAUGACAACAAGCCAUUAGCUUCCCCCAGAGCCAUGAUCAGCGCUCCCUCUGCGAGGAAUUAUGAGUUUGAGAGUACAUGUGCGAUUGUGCUGUUAGCCCUUCUGCUAACUAUUCCUGCUAUCACGCUAAUCACAGGGACUUUUCAGGGAGGCUGCCAGAACUCAAACAUGCCACGUAUAGACCAAAGUUGUCAAAGGUCAGAAAGAGGGUGCUUCCUGCCUGCUAACUCUGCAGCUGCUCCCCUGUGUUUGAAGGAAUGCUGGACACAUUUUUCUAUGCUCAAAUUCUCUUCCAUUAAAGGACACACACCUUUACAUGUGAUUCUGGAAAUGCUAUUCUAUCCAUAUUAUGGAGCUGUAUAUGCUGUAAUCAUAAAAGUGGAAAGAAAUCAAAAGGGUACAAUUUCAAAGGAACAAACGGCACCAGAACCAUAAGGCACCUGGACACAAAUGAGGCUUUGGGGGGAAAACAUUUCCUGUGCUCCCUUUUAUUCACUUUCAGGGCUUGGUCUCGUGCAUUUAGGAUUCAGUGGUAAAACUGAUUUUAAUUAUGUUUUAAUCCAACUUAUUCUAAAAAUUGUUUUGAAAGCUCUUUGGAUUUCAAACAAUAAAACAGAACAAUGAAGGGUUGUGGACCUAUAUUCAAAGAGAAAAGCAAAUAACUUACCUAUAUUCAAAGAGAAGUUACAAAUAACUUCUUUUACAUUAAAUUUCCUUAACUAAUAAAAUAUUCCUUCACUAUCCACUACUUUUUUGCAUGGCUUUACAACCAAUGUGUUUUAAUAUCAACCAUCAAAGGGGGAAAAGAAAGGGGGCUUUAACAUUACCGUUUCAGGUAACGAAUUUGGGAACACCAGAUCUGGGUGAGACAGCCUCCAUGCAACAGCGCCCCCUCUGGUUCAGAAGACUCUUCACUACUGCUCGCCCUAAUUCUAAAGGAGUGGUAGCCCUUAAAGUGCAUCUCAGAACCCUGGGGAAUAUUUUGGGAAUGCUCAUUCCUUAGGGCCUCUUAGAUCUCACAGAAAGGUGUCAACAACACAAUGUAUGACUUAGAAAGAAAAAGGAAUGAAAAUGUCAGGACCUAAGACAGUUCUCUCUCAACCUCCCCCAGGCAGUCUGGACCCCUCCUUCCCCCGCAGGGUUCCCGGACCCUCACUCAUCUCUGCUUUCUGACUAUAGUCCUGUUACAGCACUGAUUUCAAUGUAAUUUGCAUUAACUUUAAGUGGAAAUACAUUCCCCACUAUAAUUCAAAUUCCUUGGGGGCAGCAAUCACUUCUUGUUAAUCUUGAUAUUCUCCUCAAAGUACCAAUUCAAUAAGUGUCUGCUGUAUUGAAUGAUGCCCUCAGAAAAGUUACCAGACCUGAGGUCCUUGCAUUUAUCCUGACUAAAUCUCUAGAAAGAGCCACUGGAGUAUUUGUUUUAUUCAUGAGUUUAAUAUGCACAUUCAGGUACACCAUUCCUUAUAUGAAACCUCUGGCGUCAAGAUAUAUCAGAAUUUUUCAGAUCGUCAAAAGUUAAAAUGGUUCUUGACAAGGGAUUAAUUUCCAAACUAUACAAGCUGCUCAAUAUCGAAAAAACAAACAACCCAAUCAAAAAAUGGGCAGAAGAUCUAAACAGACAUUUCUCCAAAGAAGACAUACAGAUGGCCAAUAGGCACAUGAAAAAAUGCUAAACAUCACUAAUUACUAGAGAAAUGCAAAUCGAAACUACCAUGAGGUAUCACCUCACACCAGUCAGAAUGGCCAUCAUGAAGAAGGCUACAAAUAAUAAAUGCUGGAGAGGGUGUGGAGAAAAGGGAAACCUCCUACAGCAUUGGUGGGAAUGUAAAUCGGUACAGCCACUAUGGAGUACAGUAUGGGGGUUCCUUAAAAAACUAAAAAUAGAGCUACCAUAUGAUCCCACUGCAAUCCCAUUCCUCGGCAAUCCCACUCCUGGGCAUGCACCUGGAGAAAACCAUAAUUUGAAAAGAUACAUGCACUCCAAUGUUCACUGAAACAU